CGCUCUAGCAAUAGAGAGUGGCGCACGGGUGAGUAACGCGUGGGAAUGUACCGUUUAGUGGGGGAUAACCAAGGGAAACUUUGGCUAAUACCGCAUACGCCCUUCGGGGGAAAGAUUUAUCGCUAAACGAUCAGCCCGCGUGAGAUUAGGUAGUUGGUGGGGUAAUGGCCUACCAAGCCGACGAUCUCUAGCUGGUCUGAGAGGAUGAUCAGCCACACUGGAACUGAGACACGGUCCAGACUCCUACGGGAGGCAGCAGUGGGGAAUAUUGGACAAUGGGGGCAACCCUGAUCCAGCCAUGCCGCGUGAGUGAUGAAGGCCUUAGGGUUGUAAGCUCUUUUACCGAUGAAGAUAAUGACGGUAGUCGGAGAAAAAGCCCCGGCUAACUUCGUGCCAGCAGCCGCGGUAAUACGAAGGGGGCUAGCGUUGUUCGGAUUUACUGGGCGUAAAGCGUGCGUAGGUGGUCUCGUAAGUCAGUGGUGAAAUCCCGGAGCUUAACUCCGGAACUGCCAUUGAAACUGCGAGGCUUGAAUCUCAAAGGGGGUGGCGGAAUUCCUAAUGUAGGGGUGAAAUCCGUAGAUAUUAGGAGGAACACCGAUGGCGAAGGCAGCCACCUGGGUGAGUAUUGACACUGAGGCACGAGAGCGUGGGGAUCAAACAGGAUUAGAUACCCUGGUAGUCCACGCCAUAAACGAUGAAUGCUAGUUGUUGGGGGCUUCGCCCUCAGUGACGACGCUAACGCAUUAAGCAUUCCGCCUGGGGAGUACGGUCGCAAGAUUAAAACCCAAAGAAAUUGACGGGGACCCGCACAAGCGGNGGANCAUGU
rnacentral:rRNA from 1 species